CCGAGGACGACGUGAUUUUUUUUAUAUGAAAGAGGCUGAACUCCAUAGCUGGAAACGUUUAAAACCCCCUGGAAAACAAGGCGCGGGCAGCGGUGGCUGAGGAAGAAAAUCUAAGAAUUGAGUCCACCUGAGGUUGUGUUCAAGACGUGGAUGUGACGUACAGCAAAACCUAACAGAUGGAUGCUGGGCAUAGGCAAAGAAAGAACACAAAAUAACAAGAUUGGAUUGACCAUUAUCCAUCAGAAAGUUGUCUGGUGUGAUGCCUCUGCUGCCUUUCAUGUCUCUCUAAUUUUCUUGUGUCUUGAACAAAUAAAAAUGGGUAUAAUAAC